ensembl:lncRNA
AAAAUGUGAAGUUUGGGUUUAGGUUGGUUGUGUGUGUGUUUUUUGUUGUUGUUAAGUAAUUUGCAGAGCUCAGAAGCUUGUGUAUAACAUUAUCAUAGUCUCUCAGAUGCUGUGAAUCAGCUUUACACACAUUCAUUAUUAUUUUACAGACAGAAUGCAUUGCACAAAAUCCACUGAAGAUGGAAGAAAUUUUGAUUAUAUAUAGACGGAGCAGCUGAUCCCUCAGACGCAGAUGUGAUUCAGUGGCGCUUAAAGAAGACAACGAAUCAUGUGAGGAGCAGAGACACAAUAGUGCUGAGAGCAGCGGUGUGGGCUCGGACGAUCUCUCGGGCGGCUCACUUGUCACAUGCGUCCGGCUCCGUGGGUUCAAGAAGGAGCUCUGCUUUUGCUGAGGUUUGAUGAGAUGAUACGGAUUGAUCUCACGCCGUCGUGUCCUACUGGACGGCAAGCCGGUGGAGACAAUGGUGCUGGAGAAAGCAGUAGUUCAGGCAAAAAUAAACCUGCUGUUUCAGACUGAAACUGUACAAACAGACAUGAAUGCAGACGCUUCAGUCUACUGCGUGCAUGAUCAGUUUCAUGCGGUUUUGUGAAUGUUGUGAUGCAUUUCAUUCACUCUCUUUCAGCUCAGCUACUGUCUUCACAAGUAGUGCGAGUUAUGAAAUAAUAGUAUGCAUUGUACUGUAUUACUUUUAAAAGUAACUUUCCCCAACACUUAUCUUCACAGAGCU